ACGUGUGCUCUUCUGAUGUCAGUGAUGAUAGGGUCAGACGAUGGACCUGCAUUCGUCUCUAAGGUAAGUCAGGGACUGGCUUCCAUACUUGGGGCUGAUUGGAAAUUACAUUGUGCAUACCGACCCCAAAGCUCAGGACAGGUAGAGAGAAUGAAUAGAACGUUAAAGGAGACCCUAACCAAAUUGACCAUGGAGACUGGUGCUAAUUGGGUGGUCCUUCUCCCCUACGCUCUGUUCAGGGUGCGUAAUUCCCUAUACAAACUGGGACUCACACCCUAUGAAAUAAUACAUGGUAGACCACCCCCCAUCAUCCCUAACCUAAAAGAUAACCUUGUCAAAGCUGAGAACGAUAAUAGUCUUGAAUUCUUGUUCUCCCUACAAGCCUUGCAGAGGGUCCAUGAAGAUGUAUGGCCC